rnacentral:rRNA from 1 species
AGAGUUUGAUCCUGGCUCAGAGCGAACGCUGGCGGCGUACUUAACACAUGCAAGUCGAACGGGGAUCGUCGGGUUAGCAAUAAUUCGGCGGUUCUAGUGGCGCACGGGUGAGUAACACGUGGGUAACCUGCCCUUGAGUUCGGGAUACCCCCUCGAAAGGGGGGCUAAUACCGGAUACGUUCCUCGGGUCGAGAGAUCUGGGGAGGAAAGGUGGCGCAAGCUGCCGCUCUUGGAGGGGCUCGCGGCCUAUCAGCUAGUUGGCGGGGUAACGGCCCACCAAGGCUAUGACGGGUAGCUGGUCUGAGAGGACGACCAGCCACACGGGGACUGAGACACGGCCCCGACUCCUACGGGAGGCAGCAGUGGGGAAUUUUCCGCAAUGGGCGAAAGCCUGACGGAGUGACGCCGCGUGUGGGACGAAGGCCUUCGGGUCGUAAACCACUGUCAGUGGGAAAGAAGGGUGUCGGCGCGAUAACCGCCGGCAUUUGACGGUACCUGCAGAGGAAGCCCCGGCCAACUCUGUGCCAGCAGCCGCGGUA